UACGUAGGUGGCAAGCGUUGUCCGGAUUUAUUGGGUUUAAAGGGUGCGUAGGCGGUCCUAUAAGUCAGUGGUGAAAUAUCCCGGCUUAACCGGGAGGGUGGCAUUGAUACUGUGGGACUUGAGUAAAGUUGAGGUUGGCGGAAUUGACGGUGUAGCGGUGAAAUGCUUAGAUAUCGUCAAGAACACCUAUUGCGAAGGCAGCUAACUAAGCUUUAACUGACGCUGAGGCACGAAAGUGUGGGGAGCAAACAGG
rnacentral:rRNA from 1 species